GAUGAACGCUGGCGGCGUGCCUAAUACAUGCAAGUCGAGCGAACGGACGAGAAGCUUGCUUCUCUGAUGUUAGCGGCGGACGGGUGAGUAACACGUGGAUAACCUACCUAUAAGACUGGGAUAACUUCGGGAAACCGGAGCUAAUACCGGAUAAUAUUUUGAACCGCAUUGUUCAAAAGUGAAAGACGGUCUUGCUGUCACUUAUAGAUGGAUCCGCGCUGCAUUAGCUAGUUGGUAAGGUAACGGCUUACCAAGGCAACGAUGCAUAGCCGACCUGAGAGGGGGAUCGGCCACACGGGAACUGAGAAACGGUCAAGACUCCAACGGGAGGCAGCAGUAGGGAAUCUUCCGCAAUGGGCGAAAGCCUGACGGAGCAAGGACGCGUGAGGGAUGAAGGUCUUCGGAUCGUAAAACGUUGUUAUUAGGGAAGAACAUAUGUGUAAGUAACUGGGCAAAUCUUGACGGUACCUAAUAAGAAAGCCACGGCUAACUACGUG
rnacentral:rRNA from 1 species